GUCUCCCGAAUGGCGGCCACCCAGAGGACAAAGACCACACUACAAGAAUUGCCAAUUACCCGUUUGCAACAUUGUUGCGAACGGUAAUUGAAGGCACACUUACUCCUGGGGUGGUCUGAUUGUUCAGUAGUUUCACUUGCAUAAUAACUGGAGUGAUUUUACCGAACAAUCAGACAAAUGCUGCAUACACUUCACAUACACAUGGCACAAUUUAACCGAACACAUAGGAAUAUACAUAAUUUUGAGGACAGCCCAAUGCCAUCCGCUACA